UUAAGUUAAUAAGGGCGCACGGUGGAUGCCUUGGCACUAGAAGCCGAUGAAGGACGUGACUAACGACGAAAUGCUUUGGGGAGCUGUAAGUGAGCAAUGAUCCAGAGAUGUCCGAAUGGGGGAACCCGGCAGGUAAUGCCUGUCACUUAUUACUGUUAAGGUAAUGUAGAGGAAGACGCAGUGAACUGAAACAUCUAAGUAGCUGCAGGAAGAGAAAGCAAAAGCGAUUGCCUUAGUAGCGGCGAGCGAAACGGCAAGAGGGCAAACCGAAGAGUUUACUCUUCGGGGUUGUAGGACUGCAACGUGGACUUAAAGAUUAUAGAAGAACUACCUGGGAAGGUAGGCCAAAGAGAGUAAUAGCCUCGUAUUCGAAAUAGUCUUUAUACCUAGCAGUAUCCUGAGUACGGCGAGACACGAGAAAUCUCGUCGGAAUCUGGGAGGACCAUCUCCCAACCCUAAAUACUCUCUAGUGACCGAUAGUGAACCAGUACCGUGAGGGAAAGGUGAAAAGCACCCCGGGAGGGGAGUGAAAUAGAACCUGAAACCGUGUGCCUACAACAAGUUCGAGCCCGUUAAUGGGUGAGAGCGUGCCUUUUGUAGAAUGAACCGGCGAGUUACGAUAUGAUGCGAGGUUAAGUUGAAGAAACGGAGCCGUAGGGAAACCGAGUCUUAAUAGGGCGCAUUAGUAUCAUGUCGUAGACCCGAAACCAUGUGACCUACCCAUGAGCAGGUUGAAGGUGAGGUAAAACUCACUGGAGGACCGAACCAGGGCACGUUGAAAAGUGCUUGGAUGACUUGUGGGUAGCGGAGAAAUUCCAAACGAACUUGGAGAUAGCUGGUUCUCUCCGAAAUAGCUUUAGGGCUAGCGUCGAUGUUAAGUCUCUUGGAGGUAGAGCACUGUUUGGGUGAGGGGUCCAUCCCGGAUUACCAAUCUCAGAUAAACUCCGAAUGCCAAUGAGAUAUAAUCGGCAGUCAGACUGCGAGUGCUAAGAUCCGUAGUCGAAAGGGAAACAGCCCAGACCACCAGCUAAGGUCCCAAAAUAUAUGUUAAGUGGAAAAGGAUGUGGGGUUGCACAGACAACUAGGAUGUUAGCUUAGAAGCAGCUAUUCAUUCAAAGAGUGCGUAAUAGCUCACUAGUCGAGUGACCCUGCGCCGAAAAUGUACCGGGGCUAAAACAUAUUACCGAAGCUGUGGAUACCUUUAUAGGUAUGGUAGGAGAGCGUUCUAUGUGCGAAGAAGGUGUACCGUGAGGAGUGCUGGAGCGCAUAGAAGUGAGAAUGCCGGUAUGAGUAGCGAAAGACAGGUGAGAAUCCUGUCCACCGUAAGACUAAGGUUUCCAGGGGAAGGCUCGUCCGCCCUGGGUUAGUCGGGACCUAAGGAGAGACCGAAAGGUGUAUCCGAUGGACAACAGGUUGAUAUUCCUGUACUAGAGUAUAUAGUGAUGGAGGGACGCAGUAGGCUAACUAAACCAGACGAUUGGAAGUGUCUGGCCAAGCAGUGAGGUGUGAUAUGAGUCAAAUGCUUAUAUCUCUAACAUUGAGCUGUGAUGGGGAGCGAAGUUUAGUAGCGAAGUUAGUGAUGUCACACUGCCGAGAAAAGCUUCUAGCGUUAAUUAUACUCUACCCGUACCGCAAACCGACACAGGUAGUCGAGGCGAGUAGCCUCAGGUGAGCGAGAGAACUCUCGUUAAGGAACUCGGCAAAAUGGCCCCGUAACUUCGGGAGAAGGGGCGCUGACUGAUGGUCAGCCGCAGUGAAUAGGCCCAAGCAACUGUUUAUCAAAAACACAGCUCUCUGCUAAAUCGUAAGAUGAUGUAUAGGGGGUGACGCCUGCCCGGUGCUGGAAGGUUAAGAGGAGUGCUUAGCGUAAGCGAAGGUAUGAAUUGAAGCCCCAGUAAACGGCGGCCGUAACUAUAACGGUCCUAAGGUAGCGAAAUUCCUUGUCGGGUAAGUUCC
rnacentral:rRNA from 1 species